rnacentral:rRNA from 1 species
GGUCUUGGUUCUUUGGUCAUGAUCAUUCCUUCUUGAUUAUGAUUUAUCCUUUGAAUAAGCACAGCAAGAUUAUCCUUGAACUUCUUGGCUUGUGCUCUAGUGGUUGGUCCCACCUUCAUCCGUAACGGAUCGGCACCCCAGCGGGUUAUCAAUUGAGCGGGCUCGGGCGGAAUCACAUCACUUGCAUCUGAUUAGCUAGUUGGUGAGGCAAUAGCUUACUAAGGCGAUGAUCAGUAGCUGGUCCAAGAGGAUGAUCAGCCAUAAUGGGACUGAGACACGGCCCAAACUCCUAUGGAGGCAACAAUGGGGAAUUUUCUGCAAUGGAGGAGAGCCUGACAGAACAAUGCCGCAUGGAGAUAGGAGGCCUACGGGUCGUAAACUUCUUUUCCCAAAGAAGAAAUAAUGAUGGUAUCUGGGGAAUAAGCACCUACUGACUUUGUGCCAGCAGCCGCUGUAAUACAAAGGAUGCAAGCAUUAUCCGAAAUGAUCGGACGAAAAGGAUUUGUAAGUGGCUUUUUAAGUCCACCGUUAAAUCCCAAGGCUCAACCCUAGAUAGGCGGUGGAAAAUUCCAAGCUAGAUUAUGGUAGGGGCAGAGGGAAUUUCGGGUGGAGCGGUGAAAUGAGUAGAGGUAAAAAAGAACACCAACAGUGAAAGCACUCUGCUGGGCCAACACUGACACUGAGAGAUGAAAGCUAGGGGAAAGAAUGGGAUUAGAUACCUUCGUAGUCCUAGCCGUAAAUGAUGGGUACUGGGCGCUGUGGGUAUUGACCCAUGUAGUGCUGUAGCUAAUGCAUUAAGUAUCCUACCUGGGGAGUACAUUCACAAGAAUGAAACUUAAAGGAAUUGAUGGGGUCCCGCAUAAGCGGUGGAGCAUGUGGUUUAAUUCGAUGCAAAGCAAAGAACCUUACUAGGGCUUGGCAUGCCAUGAAUCCUCUUGAAAGAGAGGGAUGCCUUCGGGAAAGUGGAGACAUGUGGUGUAUGGCUGUCUGCAGCUCGUGCUGUAAGGUGUUAGGUUAAGUCUUGCUAUGAGUAUAACCCUCGUGUUUAGUUGCCACCGUUGAGUUUGGAACCCUGAGCAAAUUGUCGGUGAUAAGCUGGAGGAAGGUGAGGAUGAUGUCAAGUCAUCGUGUCCUUUAUGCCCUGGGCGAUGCACGUGCUACAAUGGCCAGGACAAAGGGUCGUGAUCCCGCGAGGGUGAGCUAACUUUGAAACCCAUCCCUAGUUCAGAUUGUAGGCUGCAACUCAUCUUCGUGAAGCCGAAAUCGCUAGUAAUCACCAGUUAGCUAUACGGUGGUGAAUUCGUUCCCGGCCCUUGUACACACCACCCAUCGCACUAUAGGAGCUGGCCAUGUUUCGAAGUCAUUACCUUAACCGCAAGGAGGGGGAUACCGAAGGCAGGGCUAGUGACUAGAGUAAAGUUGUAACAAGGUAGACGUACCAGAAGGUGCGGCUG